rfam:Triticum aestivum genome assembly, contig: Triticum_aestivum_CS42_TGACv1_scaffold_408425_5BL
UAAGUACUCCCUCCGUCCGGAAUUACUUGUCAUCAAAAUGGAUGUGUCUAGAACUAAAAUACAUCUAGAUACAUCCAUUUCAAUGACAAGUAUUUUCGGACGGAGGGAGUACAAG